GAUGAACGCUGGCGGCGUGCCUAAUACAUGCAAGUCGAGCGAAUGGAUUAAGAGCUUGCUCUUAUGAAGUUAGCGGCGGACGGGUGAGUAACACGUGGGUAACCUGCCCAUAAGACUGGGAUAACUCCGGGAAACCGGGGCUAAUACCGGAUAACAUUUUGAACCGCAUGGUUCGAAAUUGAAAGGCGGCUUCGGCUGUCACUUAUGGAUGGACCCGCGUCGCAUUAGCUAGUUGGUGAGGUAACAGGUCACCAAGGCAACGAUUCGUAGCCGACCUGAGAGGGUGAUCGGCCACACUGGGACUGAGACACGGCCCAGACUCCUACGGGAGGCAGCAGUAGGGAAUCUUCCGCAAUGGACGAAAGUCUGACGGAGCAACGCCGCGUGAGUGAUGAAGGCUUUCGGGUCGUAAAACUCUGUUGUUAGGGAAGAACAAGUGCUAGUUGAAUAAGCUGACACCUUGACGGUACCUAACCAGAAAGCCACGGCUAACUACGUGCCAGCAGCCGCAGUAA
rnacentral:rRNA from 1 species